GAUGAACGCUGGCGGCGUGCCUAAUACAUGCAAGUCGAGCGAGCGGACGAGAAGCUUGCUUCUCUGAUGUUAGCGGCGGACGGGUGAGUAACACGUGGAUAACCUACCUAUAAGACUGGGAUAACUUCGGGAAACCGGAGCUAAUACCGGAUAAUAUUUUGAACCGCAUGGUUCAAAAGUGAAAGACGGUCUUGCUGUCACUUAUAGAUGGAUCCGCGCUGCAUUAGCUAGUUGGUAAGGUAACGGCUUACCAAGGCAACGAUGCAUAGCCGACCUGAGAGGAUGAUCAGCCACACUGGAACUGAGACACGGUCCAGACUCCUACGGGAGGCAGCAGUGGGGAAUCUUCCGCAAUGGGCGAAAGCCUGACGGAGCAACGCCGCGUGAGUGAUGAAGGUCUUCGGAUCGUAAAACUCUGUUAGUAGGGAGGAACAUAUGUGUAAGUAACUGUGCACAUCUUGACGGUACCUAAUCAGAAAGCCACGGCUAACUACGUG
rnacentral:rRNA from 1 species